AACGAACGCUGGCGGCAGGCUUAACACAUGCAAGUCGAACGCCCCGCAAGGGGAGUGGCAGACGGGUGAGUAACGCGUGGGAAUCUACCCAGUUCUACGGAACAACACAGGGAAACUUGUGCUAAUACCGUAUACGCCCUAAGGGGGAAAGAUUUAUCGGAAUUGGAUGAGCCCGCGUUGGAUUAGCUAGUUGGUGGGGUAAUGGCCUACCAAGGCGACGAUCCAUAGCUGGUCUGAGAGGAUGAUCAGCCACACUGGGACUGGGACACGGCCCAGACUCCUACGGGGGGCAGCAGUGGGGAAUAUUGGACAAUGGGCGCAAGCCUGAUCCAGCCAUGCCGCGUGAGUGAUGAAGGCCUUAGGGUUGUAAAGCUCUUUCAGUAGGGACGAUAAUGACGGUACCUACAGAAGAAGCCCCGGCUAACUUCGUGCCAGCCGCCGCAGUAA
rnacentral:rRNA from 1 species